rnacentral:rRNA from 1 species
GUGCAGCAGGCGCGAAUACUUUACAAUGUGCGAAAGCACGAUAAGGGAACUCUGAGUGCCUCCUAAGGAGGCUGUUCAGGUGUCUAAAAGCACCUGGAGUAAGGGCUGGGUAAGACCGGUGCCAGCCGCCGCGGUAACACCGGCAGCCCAGGUGGUACGCCGACUUUUAUUGGGUCUAAAGCGUCCGUAGCCGGUUGAAUAAGUUCCUUGGGAAAUUUGGCUGCUCAACAGACAAGCUUCCAGGGAAUACUGCUCGACUUGGGACUGGGAGAGGUCAGAGGUA